rnacentral:rRNA from 1 species
GACGAACGCUGGCGGCAUGCCUAACACAUGCAAGUCGAACGAGACCUUCGGGUCUAGUGGCGCACGGGUGCGUAACGCGUGGGAACCUGCCCUUAGGUUCGGAAUAACUCCCCGAAAGGGGUGCUAAUACCGGAUAAUGUCUUCGGACCAAAGAUUUAUCGCCUUUGGAUGGGCCCGCGUUGGAUUAGCUAGUUGGUAGGGUAAAAGCCUACCAAGGCGACGAUCCAUAGCUGGUCUGAGAGGGUGAUCAGCCACACUGGGACUGAGACACGGCCCAGACUCCUACGGGAGGCAGCAGUGGGGAAUAUUGGACAAUGGGCGAAAGCCUGAUCCAGCAAUGCCGCGUGAGUGAUGAAGGCCUUAGGGUUGUAAAGCUCUUUUACCCGGGAUGAUAAUGACAGUACCGGGAGAAUAAGCGCCGGCUAACUCCGUG